AACGCGGGGCAACCUGGCGACGAGUGGCGAACGGGUGAGUAAUGCAUCGGAACGUGCCCAGUAGUGGGGGAUAGCCCGGCGAAAGCCGGAUUAAUACCGCAUACGACCUAAGGGUGAAAGCGGGGGAUCGCAAGACCUCGCGCUAUUGGAGCGGCCGAUGUCGGAUUAGCUAGUUGGUGGGGUAAAAGCCUACCAAGGCGACGAUCCGUAGCUGGUCUGAGAGGACGACCAGCCACACUGGGACUGAGACACGGCCCAGACUCCUACGGGAGGCAGCAGUGGGGAAUUUUGGACAAUGGGCGCAAGCCUGAUCCAGCCAUGCCGCGUGCGGGAAGAAGGCCUUCGGGUUGUAAACCGCUUUUGUCAGGGAAGAAACGGUCUGGGUUAAUACCUCGGACUAAUGACGGUACC
rnacentral:rRNA from 1 species